rnacentral:rRNA from 1 species
GAUGAACGCUGGCGGCGUGCUUAACACAUGCAAGUCGAACGGUGAAGGCGGAGCUUGCUCUGCUGGAUCAGUGGCGAACGGGUGAGUAACACGUGAGCAAUCUGCCCCUGACUCUGGGAUAAGCGCUGGAAACGGCGUCUAAUACUGGAUACGAGCUGCGAAGGCAUCUUCAGCAGCUGGAAAGAAUUUCGGUCAGGGAUGAGCUCGCGGCCUAUCAGCUUGUUGGUGAGGUAAUGGCUCACCAAGGCGUCGACGGGUAGCCGGCCUGAGAGGGUGACCGGCCACACUGGGACUGAGACACGGCCCAGACUCCUACGGGAGGCAGCAGUGGGGAAUAUUGCACAAUGGGCGAAAGCCUGAUGCAGCAACGCCGCGUGAGGGACGACGGCCUUCGGGUUGGAAACCUCUUUAGCAGGGAAGAAGCGAAAGUGACGGUACCUGCAGAAAAAGCGCCGGCUAACUACGUG